rnacentral:rRNA from 1 species
UACGGGGGGAGCAAGCGUUGUUCGGAUUUACUGGGCGUAAAGGGCGCGUAGGCGGGCGGUCAAGUCAGGGGUGAAAGCCCCCAGCUCAACUGGGGAAGUGCCUUUGAUACUGGCCGUCUAGAGGGAGGUAGGGGCAUGCGGAACUUCCGGUGGAGCGGUGAAAUGCGUAGAUAUCGGAAGGAACGCCGGUGGCGAAAGCGGCGUGCUGGACCUCUUCUGACGCUGAGGCGCGAAAGCCAGGGGAGCAAACGGG